rnacentral:rRNA from 1 species
UGAAAUAUGAGUUUGAUCUUGGCUCAGGGUGAACGCUAAUAGUAUGCUUUACACAUGCAAGUCGAACGAAAUUUUUCGUGGCAAACGGGUGAGGAAUACGUAAAAACUCUGCCUCUUAGACCAGAAUAAACAUAUUCGAAAGCGUGAUAACUUUCGAAAAAAAAUUAUAUUUGUGUUAAUACUGGAUAAUUUUUUAAAAGGGUUAGUUUAACGAUGACUGCUAAGAGAUGAAUUUACGUAAGAUUAGGUAGUUGGUAAUGUUAGCAGCUUACCAAGCCGAUGAUCUUUAGUUGAUCUGAGAGGAUGAUCAACCACACUGGAACUGAGACAAGGUCCAGGCUAAGUUUUUGGCCAGCAGUGAGGAAUAUUGGACAAUGAACGAAAGUUUGAUCCAGCAAUACUAUGUGAAUGAUGACGGCUGAUCUAUAGAAACAAUAUUUUAUUCACAAAAGGUAAUUUGACUACAAUAUUGUUUCUGGUUGUAAAAUUCUUUCGUUGAAGAUGAUAGUGACAUUAUUCAAAGAAGUUUUAGUCCCGGCUAAUCUCGUGCCAGCAGCCGCGGUAAUACGGGAGGGGCAAGCGUUAUCCGAAAUGACUGGGCGUAAAGAGUCCGUAGACAGUACUGUAAGUUAUUUGUUAAAUCCUAAAGCUCAACUUUAGAACAGCUUAUAAGACUACUUUACUUGAGUUUUGUUCAGAAGAGUAGAAUUCCAUAUUUAGGGAUAAGCCCCGUAGAUAUAUGGAGGAACACCUGUAGCGAAGGCGACUCUUUGGUAAAAACUGACGUUGAGGGACGAAAGUGUAGGGAGCAAACAGGAUUAGAUACCCUGGUAGUCUACACUGUAAAUUCUGAGUGCUGUAAUUCAAUCUAUUUCGUAUUAUUUUGGAUUUUUUAAGCUAACGCCAUAAGCACUCCGCCUGAGGAGUACGAUCGCAAGGUUGGAACUCAAAAGAAUUGACGGGGGCCUACAACGAGUGGUGGAGCAUGUGGUUUAAUGCGAUAAUCCGCGCAAAACCUUACCAACCCUUGACAUAAAGAAACAGAAAGCAUUUUGUUUGUCAAAAAUUGUUUUCAAAGAAUAAGAUAUGUUAAAUAUUUUUCGAGAAAUUUCUUUACAGGUGUUGCACGACUGUCGUCAGCUCGUGUCGUAAGAUAUUUGGUUUAUUCCUUUAACGAGCGUAACUCUUAUCUUUAAUAUUUAUUUUGUACUUUUAUUUUUAAGAUUAAAAAUACAAGCUUUAAAGAGACUGUCAAUGAUAAAUUGAAGGAAGUGAGAAUUAAGUCAAGUCCCUGUGGCCCUUAUGGGUUGGGCUACACACGUGCUACAAUGAAAAUUACAAAAAGUUACUUUUAAUUCAAGUAAUUUUGUUAAUCUUUAAAAAUUUUCGUAGUUCGAAUUAUAAGCUGCAACUCGCUUAUAUGAAGGUGGAAUCACUAGUAAUCGCAAAUCAGAAUGUUGCGGUGAAUCUGUAUCUUGGCCUUGUACACACCGCCCGUCACAUGCAGAGAGUUAGUCUUGCUUGAAGAUUCGAACUUUCUGAUUUUGAAUACUUUUAUCGUAUUUAAAGUCUUGAAUCUUUGAAUCCAUUGAGAGAUUAAUGAUUUGGAUGAAGUCGUAACAAGGUAGCUGUACGGGAACGUGUAGCUGGAAUAAAUGAAAU